AUGGCAGUGAAUGGUGCUCAAGAUUUUGAAGCAAAAUGGUGCAUCUAUCCAUCAUAAAAAGUUCUUCACACAAUGAGUCAAUGAAUCAUUCACUCAAAUGAUUCACGCUGUUUGUUUUGAACUAUGUCAGCUUACCGAGCAAAAACAAAGUAGCUACUGAUACAAUAUUGAGUCUAAAAAGUAAAAAUACUCAGUUUAAACUUUUUGUCAACUAAACUAAUGUAUAAAAGCAAUAUCACAUUCACAUUCAUGCUGUUGAUCUGAUAUUCAGAAGAAACAGCACUCUUGCAAAUUUGAUUUUGCUUUAUAUCAAUAAAGGAUAAUAUUAACGUGAACUCAUUAAAUAUUUUCUUAAGUCUCAGUGAAACAGCACAAUAAACCAACUUAAACUUGUUAAAAUUCUCCUGAAGCGUUUGCAUAGAGAGUGUGUUUUACAUGAGCGACACACACUUCAGUGCUCUGCAUGUGUUUAUAACUCUGACAAACAUCAAACAUGAUCAACAACUGUUUCUCACUAGAACUGAACCUACAACCAACAGAAAUGACUUUCAUCACCAUAUUGAUCUGGACGCUGACAGUAUUAUGUAGAGAAUCUAUUGGGCAGGUGACAGUGACUCAAACUCCCUCAGUGCUGCUCGCUCAGACUGGACAAUCAGUCACUGUAACCUGUACAUUUAACAGAGAUCCAGACUGCUGUUAUAAUGGAAAACAUUUUCUUAGCUGGUACUUACAGAAACCUGGAGAAGCUCCUAAACUCCUGAUUUAUGGAACAAGCAGCCAUCAGUCAGGAACUCCAUCUAGAUUCAGUGGCAGUGGAUCUAACAGUGAUUUCACUCUGACCAUCAGUGGAGUCCAGACUGAAGAUGCUGGACAUUAUUACUGUCAGGGUAUACACUGGAUCAACAGUCAAGCUGUGUUCACACAGUGAUAAAGAGUGGUACAA